AGAGUUUGAUCAUGGCUCAGAACGAACGCUGGCGGCGUGGAUAAGACAUGCAAGUCGAACGAGAUUUUUUCCUGUAGCAAUACAGGGAAAAGUCUAGUGGCGAACGGGUGCGUAACACGUGGGCAAUCUGCCUUAAAGUGGGGGAUAGCUCGGCGAAAGCCGAAUUAAUACCGCAUGUGAUCAGGGGAGACAUCUUCCCGAAAUCAAAAGUGGCGCAAGCUACUGCUUUUUGAGGAGCCCGCGGCCUAUCAGCUAGUUGGUGAGGUAACGGCUCACCAAGGCUUUGACGGGUAGCUGGUCUGAGAGGACGACCAGUCACACUGGAACUGAGACACGGUCCAGACACCUACGGGUGGCAGCAGUCGAGAAUUUUUCUCAAUGGGGGAAACCCUGAAGGAGCGACGCCGCGUGGAGGAUGAAGGUCUUCGGGUUGUAAACUCCUGUCAUUUGGGAACAAGUGUCGGUACGUAACUGCUACCGGCUUGAUAGUACCAGAAGAGGAAGGGACGGCUAACUCUGUGCCAGCAGCCGCGGUAAUACAGAGGUCCCAAGCGUUGUUCGGAUUCAUUGGGCGUAAGGGGUGUGUAGGUGGCGCCGUAAGUCGGGUGUGAAAUUUCGGAGCUUAACUCCGAAACUGCAUUCGAUACUGCGGUGCUUGAGGACUGGAGAGGAGACUGGAAUUCAUGGUGUAGCAGUGAAAUGCGUAGAGAUCAUGAGGAAGACCAGUGGCGAAGGCGGGUCUCUGGACAGUUCCUGACACUGAGACACGAAGGCCAGGGGAGCAAACGGGAUUAGAUACCCUAGUAGUCC
rnacentral:rRNA from 1 species